rnacentral:rRNA from 1 species
UAUGUACAUGACUACAACAUUAAUGCACCAAAUCCCAUUAAAAAUUCUCAGUUAAGCAUGCUUAGGCUAGAGUAGUACUAGGAUGGGUGGCCUUCCAAGGAGUCCUAGUGUUUUACAUAC